rnacentral:misc_RNA from 1 species
GUGAAUCAUCGAAUCUUUGAACGCAUAUUGCACUCUCUGGUAUUCCGGAGAGUAUGCCUGUUUGAGGGUAAUUAAAAACAAUCUUUAACCAUUUUUUUUGGUCAAAGGAUGUGAGUUCUCCGCGUUUAUAGCGGUAGCUUGAAAUAAAUGGUCAAGUCUCAUUUUAGUAGAGACGCAUUAUAAUAUUAUUGCGCGAUAUCUUCAAUAUGUAUAUCAAAUUUUUUUAUGCAUAAU